GCGAUCCCAGGUCAGGCGAGACUACCUGCUGAGUUUAA
rnacentral:rRNA from 1 species